AGAAGGUCAAAUUCAGCCAAGUGUCUUGGACAUCUGACAUCGAUGAGAAAACCCUAAAACUAAGAUUCUCACAACCCCAGGCCCGAGCAUCUGCACCUUGGUAUGAUGAGAAUCAGCCAGAACAAGCCAGAGACAGGAAACCUCGUCUUCGCCCACCACCCCCUCCUCUCGUCCCCUACACCGGCAACGCCAACCGCCGCCUGGUGCCACCCAUGUCCAGACUCAGUCU